rnacentral:rRNA from 1 species
GCUAAAUACUCCUGACUGCCCGAAAGUGAACCAGUACCGUGAGGGAAAGGCGAAAAGAUCCCCGGCGAGGGGAGUGAAAAAGAACCUGAAACCGUGUACGAACAAGCAGUGGGAGCACCAACGGGUGUGACUGCGUACCUUUUGAAUAAUGGGUCAGCGACUUAUAUUCUGUAGCAAGGUUAACCGUAUAGGGGAGCCGCAGGGAAACCGAGGCUUAACUGGGCGUUAAGUUGCAGGGUAUAGACCCGAAACCCGGUGAUCUAGCCAUGGGCAGGUUGAAGGUUGGGUAACACUAACUGGAGGACCGAACCGACUAAUGU